GAUGAACGCUGGCGGCGUGCCUAAUACAUGCAAGUCGAGCGAACGGACGAGAAGCUUGCUUCUCUGAUGUUAGCGGCGGACGGGUGAGUAACACGUGGAUAACCUACCUAUAAGACUGGGAUAACUUCGGGAAACCGUAGCUAAUACCGGAUAAUAUUUUGAACCGCAUGGUUCAAAAGUGAAAGACGGUCUUGCUGUCACUUAUAGAUGGAUCCGCGCUGCAUUAGCUAGUUGGUAAGGUAACGGCUUACCAAGGCAACGAUGCAUAGCCGACCUGAGAGGGUGACCGGCCCCCCUGGACCUGAACCCCGGCCACACCCCUACGGGGGGGCAGAGGUGGGGAAUCUUCCCCAAUGGGCGAAAGCCUGACGAGGCAACCCGGCGUGAGUGAUGAAGGUUUUCGGAUCUUAAAACCUUUUUUUUAGGGAAAAAAAUUUUUUAAAGUAACUGUCACCCUUUUGACGGUACCAAAUAAAAAGCCCCCGGUAAAUUCCUU
rnacentral:rRNA from 1 species